rnacentral:rRNA from 1 species
ACAGCAGUCGCCACGGUAAUACGGAGGGUGCAAGCGUUACUCGGAAUUACUGGGCGUAAAGCGUGCGUAGGUGGUGGUUUAAGUCCGUUGUGAAAGCCCUGGGCUCAACCUGGGAAUUGCAGUGGAUACUGGGUCACUAGAGUGUGGUAGAGGAUAGUGGAAUUUCCGGUGUAGCAGUGAAAUGCGUAGAGAUCGGAAGGAACAUCUGUGGCGAAGGUGACUAUCUGGGCCAACACUGACACUGAGGCACGAAAGCGUGGGGAGCAAACAGGAUUAGAUACCCCCGUAGUCCCUGUCUCUUAUAC